AGGCUCAGGACGAACGCUGGCGGCGUGCCUAAUACAUGCAAGUAGAACGCUGAAGAGAGGAGCUUGCUCUUCUUGGAUGAGUUGCGAACGGGUGAGUAACGCGUAGGUAACCUGCCUUGUAGCGGGGGAUAACUAUUGGAAACGAUAGCUAAUACCGCAUAACAAUGGAUGACACAUGUCAUUUAUUUGAAAGGGGCAAUUGCUCCACUACAAGAUGGACCUGCGUUGUAUUAGCUAGUAGGUGAGGUAAUGGCUCACCUAGGCGACGAUACAUAGCCGACCUGAGAGGGUGAUCGGCCACACUGGGACUGAGACACGGCCCAGACUCCUACGGGAGGCAGCAGUAGGGAAUCUUCGGCAAUGGGGGCAACCCUGACCGAGCAACGCCGCGUGAGUGAAGAAGGUUUUCGGAUCGUAAAGCUCUGUUGUAAGUCAAGAACGGGUGUGAGAGUGGAAAGUUCACACUGUGACGGUAGCUUACCAGAAAGGGACGGCUAACUACGUGCCAGCAGCCGCGGUAAUACGUAGGUCCCGAGCGUUGUCCGGAUUUAUUGGGCGUAAAGCGAGCGCAGGCGGUUUGAUAAGUCUGAAGUUAAAGGCUGUGGCUCAACCAUAGUUCGCUUUGGAAACUGUCAAACUUGAGUGCAGAAGGGGAGAGUGGAAUUCCAUGUGUAGCGGUGAAAUGCGUAGAUAUAUGGAGGAACACCGGUGGCGAAAGCGGCUCUCUGGUCUGUAACUGACGCUGAGGCUCGAAAGCGUGGGGAGCGAACAGGAUUAGAUACCCUGGUAGUCCACGCCGUAAACGAUGAGUGCUAGGUGUUGGAUCCUUUCCGGGAUUCAGUGCCGCAGCUAACGCAUUAAGCACUCCGCCUGGGGAGUACGACCGCAAGGUUGAAACUCAAAGGAAUUGACGGGGGCCCGCACAAGCGGUGGAGCAUGUGGUUUAAUUCGAAGCAACGCGAAGAACCUUACCAGGUCUUGACAUCCCGAUGCUAUUUCUAGAGAUAGAAAGUUACUUCGGUACAUCGGUGACAGGUGGUGCAUGGUUGUCGUCAGCUCGUGUCGUGAGAUGUUGGGUUAAGUCCCGCAACGAGCGCAACCCCUAUUGUUAGUUGCCAUCAUUCAGUUGGGCACUCUAGCGAGACUGCCGGUAAUAAACCGGAGGAAGGUGGGGAUGACGUCAAAUCAUCAUGCCCCUUAUGACCUGGGCUACACACGUGCUACAAUGGUUGGUACAACGAGUUGCGAGUCGGUGACGGCGAGCUAAUCUCUUAAAGCCAAUCUCAGUUCGGAUUGUAGGCUGCAACUCGCCUACAUGAAGUCGGAAUCGCUAGUAAUCGCGGAUCAGCACGCCGCGGUGAAUACGUUCCCGGGCCUUGUACACACCGCCCGUCACACCACGAGAGUUUGUAACACCCGAAGUCGGUGAGGUAACCUUUUGGAGCCAGCCGCCUAAGGUGGGACAGAUGAUUGGGGUGAAGUCGUAA
rnacentral:rRNA from 1 species